GUGGAUGGGUGAAUGGAAGGGUGGAUGGAUGGGUAAAUGGAUGACUGGAUGGAUGGAAGGGUGGAUGGAUGGGUAAAUGGAUGACUGGAUGGAUGGAGGGGUGGAUGGAUGGGUAAAUGGAUGACUGGAUGGAUGGAAGGGUGGAUGGAUGGGUAAAUGGAUGACUGGAUGGAUGGAGGGGUGGAUGGAUGGGUAAAUGGAUGACUGGAUGGAUGGAAGGGUGGAUGGAUGGGUAAAUGGAUGACUGGAUGGAUGGAGGGGUGGAUGGAUGGGUAAAUGGAUGACUGGAUGGAUGGAAGGGUGGAUCAAUGGGUAAAUGAAUGGAUGGAUAAUGAUGAGUGGAU